rnacentral:rRNA from 1 species
GUGCCAGCAGCCGCGGUAAUACCGGCAGCCCGAGUGAUGGCCGAUCUUAUUGGGCCUAAAGCGUCCGUAGCUGGCCGCACAAGUCCAUCGGAAAAUCCACCCGCUCAACAGGUGGGCGUCCGGUGGAGACUGUGUGGCUUGGGACCGGAAGGCGCGACGGGUACGUCCGGGGUAGGAGUGAAAUCCCGUAAUCCUGGACGGACCGCCGAUGGCGAAAGCACGUCGCGAGAACGGAUCCGACAGUGAGGGACGAAAGCUAGGGUCUCGAACCGGAUUAGAAACCUGAGUAGUCC